rnacentral:rRNA from 1 species
GGGUUGUGAGGUUAAGCGACUAAGCGUACACGGUGGAUGCCCUGGCAGUCAGAGGCGAUGAAGGACGUGCUAAUCUGCGAUAAGCGUCGGUGAGGUGAUAUGAACCGUUAUAACCGGCGAUUUCCGAAUGGGGAAACCCAGUGUGUUUCGACACACUAUCAUUAACUGAAUCCAUAGGUUAAUGAGGCGAACCGGGGGAACUGAAACAUCUAAGUACCCCGAGGAAAAGAAAUCAACCGAGAUUCCCCCAGUAGCGGCGAGCGAACGGGGAGGAGCCCAGAGCCUGAAUCAGUGUGUGUGUUAGUGGAAGCGUCUGGAAAGGCGCGCGAUACAGGGUGACAGCCCCGUACACAAAAAUGCACAUAUUGUGAGCUCGAUGAGUAGGGCGGGACACGUGGUAUCCUGUCUGAAUAUGGGGGGACCAUCCUCCAAGGCUAAAUACUCCUGACUGACCGAUAGUGAACCAGUACCGUGAGGGAAAGGCGAAAAGAACCCCGGCGAGGGGAGUGAAAAAGAACCUGAAACCGUGUACGUACAAGCAGUGGGAGCCUCUUAAUGGGGUGACUGCGUACCUUUUGUAUAAUGGGUCAGCGACUUAUAUUCUGUAGCAAGGUUAACCGAAUAGGGGAGCCGAAGGGAAACCGAGUCUUAACUGGGCGUUAAGUUGCAGGGUAUAGACCCGAAACCCGGUGAUCUAGCCAUGGGCAGGUUGAAGGUUGGGUAACACUAACUGGAGGACCGAACCGACUAAUGUUGAAAAAUUAGCGGAUGACUUGUGGCUGGGGGUGAAAGGCCAAUCAAACCGGGAGAUAGCUGGUUCUCCCCGAAAGCUAUUUAGGUAGCGCCUCGUGAAUUCAUCUCCGGGGGUAGAGCACUGUUUCGGCAAGGGGGUCAUCCCGACUUACCAACCCGAUGCAAACUGCGAAUACCGGAGAAUGUUAUCACGGGAGACACACGGCGGGUGCUAACGUCCGUCGUGAAGAGGGAAACAACCCAGACCGCCAGCUAAGGUCCCAAAGUCAUGGUUAAGUGGGAAACGAUGUGGGAAGGCCCAGACAGCCAGGAUGUUGGCUUAGAAGCAGCCAUCAUUUAAAGAAAGCGUAAUAGCUCACUGGUCGAGUCGGCCUGCGCGGAAGAUGUAACGGGGCUAAACCAUGCACCGAAGCUGCGGCAGCGACACUAUGUGUUGUUGGGUAGGGGAGCGUUCUGUAAGCCUGUGAAGGUGGCCUGUGAGGGUUGCUGGAGGUAUCAGAAGUGCGAAUGCUGACAUAAGUAACGAUAAAGCGGGUGAAAAGCCCGCUCGCCGGAAGACCAAGGGUUCCUGUCCAACGUUAAUCGGGGCAGGGUGAGUCGACCCCUAAGGCGAGGCCGAAAGGCGUAGUCGAUGGGAAACAGGUUAAUAUUCCUGUACUUGGUGUUACUGCGAAGGGGGGACGGAGAAGGCUAUGUUGGCCGGGCGACGGUUGUCCCGGUUUAAGCGUGUAGGCUGGUUUUCCAGGCAAAUCCGGAAAAUCAAGGCUGAGGCGUGAUGACGAGGCACUACGGUGCUGAAGCGACAAAUGCCCUGCUUCCAGGAAAAGCCUCUAAGCAUCAGGUAACAUCAAAUCGUACCCCAAACCGACACAGGUGGUCAGGUAGAGAAUACCAAGGCGCUUGAGAGAACUCGGGUGAAGGAACUAGGCAAAAUGGUGCCGUAACUUCGGGAGAAGGCACGCUGAUAUGUAGGUGAAGCGACUUGCUCGUGGAGCUGAAAUCAGUCGAAGAUACCAGCUGGCUGCAACUGUUUAUUAAAAACACAGCACUGUGCAAACACGAAAGUGGACGUAUACGGUGUGACGCCUGCCCGGUGCCGGAAGGUUAAUUGAUGGGGUUAGCGGUAACGCGAAGCUCUUGAUCGAAGCCCCGGUAAACGGCGGCCGUAACUAUAACGGUCCUAAGGUAGCGAAAUUCCUUGUCGGGUAAGUUCCGACCUGCACGAAUGGCGUAAUGAUGGCCAGGCUGUCUCCACCCGAGACUCAGUGAAAUUGAACUCGCUGUGAAGAUGCAGUGUACCCGCGGCAAGACGGAAAGACCCCGUGAACCUUUACUAUAGCUUGACACUGAACAUUGAGCCUUGAUGUGUAGGAUAGGUGGGAGGCUUUGAAGUGUGGACGCCAGUCUGCAUGGAGCCGAC